AUAGCAGCCAGGGAAGCCUGUAUAGCGGCACACAAAUCGUGACCUUAAAUCCUAAUUUAUGCUUAUAUUUCUGCUAUGUCAUUUUGAUCACUAUUUUUAUUAGACCAGUGUUUCCCAACCAGGGUGCCUCCAGCACCCAGCCUUCGGCUGUCCGGGCAUGCUGGGAGUUGUAGUUUUGCAACAGCUGGAGGCACCUUGGUUGGGAAACAAUGUAUUAGACCAUAGUAAAAAGGUUGCAAGUGGUUAAUUAUAGCAAGACCCCGAACAGUAGCCGUAGGCCCCCUACUGACCCAAAAGAAGCUAAAAAUACUGCCUUUUAAUCCGGGUGAUACACAUCGAGGCAUAGCUAGGGCGGCUGAAAGAACUUGUGCCCCGGGUGCUGUGCCCCAGGGCAAGGUUUAGAAAUGCCCACAAAGGCUGAAACUGAAUUUAGAAAGGAAGCUCAUUGGCUAGGAUACUGACCACUGCUCUGCUGUUGAAGCAGAUGGCCAGGAUGCUGAUGUCACUACCUCUGCAUAGCAGCAUAAGGCCGAUGCGCCCCCAUCCCUGGCUAUCUGCUGUGUGUGAAAAGCUAUGGACAGACAGCUCCAAGGCUUGUGUCGCCAUCUGUGAUGAGCCUGUCACAUACAAAAGAUGGGGAGAAAGGAAAAGAGAAAAAAAGAGACCGGAAGCGGCGCCUCGUUGCGGGAAGUGGUCUUUAGUGAAUGGCAGCUGAGAGCAGUAUACACAGAGGAUAUCCACCUGCAUAUCAACCACCACCGAAUGAAAACCUUUGUAAACUGUGAUAUUUACUAAGGCUGAAAUCUCCGGCAAGUAUUUGCAAUUUAAUCAUGCUCAUGGGUUGAG